UAACACGUAGGUAACCUGCCCAUGUGUCCGGGAUAACUGCUGGAAACGGUAGCUAAAACCGGAUAGGUAUACAGAGCGCAUGCUCAGUAUAUUAAAGCGCCCAUCAAGGCGUGAACAUGGAUGGACCUGCGGCGCAUUAGCUAGUUGGUGGGGUAACGGCCCACCAAGGCGAUGAUGCGUAGCCGGCCUGAGAGGGUAAACGGCCACAUUGGGACUGAGACACGGCCCAA
rnacentral:rRNA from 1 species